GCGGAUAGGCCCAGGCCUAUGGGUGUUUGCUCCAAUUGUGACAGACUGGGGUAGCCAAGGAGUGCUUCCUGAUGUGGGCAGAGAGUGUGAGUGAGAAGAAAGCGCUGGCUAGGCUGAGCAGUCAGAUCUGUAGCUUCCCUGUAGGGCCAGCACCUUUCCCUGUCAGACCUUCACUGAACUCCUAUGGGAUCGCCAGGCCAACACAAGGCAUUAGCACUGGCCGUCUUUGAGACAUUUCCUCUCAAGGCCCCUGAGCAGACUUGCCUGUUUGCUCUCCAUCUUCCCUACAGAGGGGCCUCCCAGGACUGCUUCUGGAACCACAAAGGCAACUAAGUGGCCAACAGCUGCCACAGAGCAACUGACAACCUUCUUUUCCUUUUUGUCUUUUUCUUUCUUUUUGGUUAAUAAUCUGCUUUCCAUUCACCUACCCCCUCCACUCCCACCCUGUCAUGGUAAAUCAGGGUUGUAAAGUCCUCAACCCCUAAGAGCUCCAUGCUUGAGCAAAUAUAUACAAGACAUACGCAUAUAGCUGUAGGGUUCCACUCUCUUACAAAAAUUAGAUCUUAUUGUGUACAAUACUCUGCAAAUUGCUUUUCUUACUUAACAAUAUAUAUCAUUGGCCAGGUGUGGUGGCUCACGCAUAUAAUCCCAGCACUUUGGGAGGAUCACUUGAGCUCAAAAGUUAGACCAGCCUGGGCAACAUGUUGAAACUCCAUCUCUACAAAAAAAUACAAAAAUUAGCCAGGUGUGGUAGCAUACACCUGUGGUCCCAGCUAUUCAGGAAGCUGAGGAGGGAGGAUCACUCGAGCCCAGGAGGUCGAGGCCACAGUGAGCCGUGAACUGCACUCCAGCCUGGGGAACAAAGUGAGAUCCUGUCUCAAAACAAAAACAAAAACAAAAGCAAAAAAAUCAUGGACAAAGUAUUUCUUAAAAGGUAGCUUCUCGCACUAAAAAUAAUAGCAUUACAUAACAUACAUAUAUACAAAUUUUAUUAUUAUUAUUUCCACUUCUUCAGGCGUUCAGUCACAUAGGGAUGACUAAACAACAAAAUAUGAGAAACUACUGAGAAGUAUAAAAGAUGCACAGAUACAGAGAUGAACUAUCAGGUUGUCUCAAAUUUUAGUGAAAUUUGAAUUUUAAAUCUCAAUGGGUUUUUUUUCUGGAGUGAAAAACUUUACAAAAUGGUUUUCAGAGUCAGUUGGAGGAACGAAUACAUGAAAAACCCAGAAAUUUUUGAAAUUGAAGGCAUAAUUGAGCAUAUGAAAAAGCUAUGAUCAAUAAAACAGUGUGAUACAGGUACAAGAAAAAACAGAUCAAUGUAAUAGAAUAGGUAACCUAAAAAUAGUAUCAGUAUGAAACUAGUAUAUGUAAUAUAGGAUAAGUAAGACAUCACUAUAUGAGAAGGGAAGGAAGUUUAUCCAAUGUGCUGGUACAAUUGGUUAGCUAUUUGGAAAAUAUUAAUCUUCAUACUAUAAGCUAAUACAAAUCCAAACAGAUCAAACAGAGUUACAUGCCACAAAGGAAAGAAAAAUCUCAAGAACUAGAAGAAUGCCAAGUCAAUGCAUGUUUUAUCUCUUGUUGAGAAAGGACUUUGUAAGCUAAGAGACGGUGGAAGGUGUCUGAAAGGGAAAGAUCAAUAGGUUUGACUAAAGGUGAUAAACCUUUGUCCAUGGAAAACAGCAGAAACAAAAUUGAAAAGUAAAUAACCCAGAAAAAAGAUUUCAACACAUAUAACAGACAUAGGAUUAAAAUUCUGAGUUAUAAAGAGCUGAUACAAAUCAUUAGGAACAUAAAACACUAAUAGAUGAGAACAGAGAAGUCACAGAAGAACCCAAAUGUUUAAGCUUUCUAGAAACAAGAGAAAUAACCUAAGGUGGCAUAUCUAAAAAAAAAUUUUAACAGCUUUUUCUGAUUGAUUAUAAAAAUAAUGCCUGUUUACAGUAGAAAAUGUGGAAGGUAAAAUUGACCCACUAGGUCACCAUCUAGAAAUGACCACCAUUAACAUUUACUGUAUAUCCUGCAACUGUUGUUUACUCUGCCUUUUUCUUUUUAAAUUAAGAUCAUAUUGUUGGCAUCUCAUUUUCCACCUAUCAAAUUAACAAAGCUUUUUUUUUAAAGCUUAUACUCCAUGCUGGUGACAGGGUAUACAGUUCAGUCAAUGUUGGUGCAAUUGAAUUGGAUGGAAAGGGGCUUGAUUCAUCCUGUCCUGGGGUGUUGGGCAAGGGCUGACCCCAGUAGUCAGCAUGGUGGUGGGUAAUAGAGAUUUCAGAUCUCCAAGGUCAAAGUGACAGAGUCACCAGGGGAGCUUUUCAAAAGGAAAGACCACCCAAGUCCAGUGACUCCAAGACCCCCUCCUCCCCAGGGUCCUUCAGCUAUUCUGAGCUUGUAAGGGGCCUCUCUGCCUGAAUCUGGAUUUAGCUCCAGGUUCCACCUCUGACAAACUGUGUCCUCAGCCAUUCUCUGAGCCUUGGUUUUGAUGGGGAUUCCUACCUCACAGGGUCAUUGUCAGGAUGAAAGGACACAGUCUAGCAAGUGUAUUUAGUCCACUGCCAGGCAAUAGUAAGUGCUCAAAUAUUGUUGAUCAAAAAGGCAAACUCUGAGUGGGUAUUUACUUUCUGUUUUUAUAACCAAGGACUCAUCGGGGGAUUUUUGCUGAACAAAGAUACUGUGAAUUCAAAUCUCGGCCUCGUAAGAAUCAGAAAACUGCUUGCAGCUUUUGAGUGGCAAUUUCUCCAGCUUUCCAAAUAUCUCCUGGCUGAAUUUCAGAAAGCCUGGUUAACAGUCGUUUCUCUGAACACCUCCUACCUGCCGAUGGUGACAUAGCACAUCAGAGGCAGAAAUGGGUCCAUGCCUCUGAAUCCAAGCCUGCCUUCCUCCCUACACAACCUGGACCCUUUAUUGGGGGAGAGUCAGGCACAGUGGUAAACUGACAAGGGACAGGGCUGCGAUGGGAAGUGGGGGGUGAGGAUGAAAGCAGCUGUUGAGGGCCCCUCUAGCUCUGGGCCGGUGUGCUCUUUAGAGGGUGUCUGUGUCCCGAAGCACCCCCUCCCUCCCUCAGCAAGGGGCUGGCCCAGGCCCUCACCCUUCCUCGGAGCCUGCUGCCCACAUCAGAGCCCUCAUUUCAGCUCCCCUCAUGACACUGCCUUGCAUAAUAAAUGCUUCAGUUGAAUGUACUUUAUUUUGGGGAAAGUCAUUAAACUCCUUUUGUGGAAACAUUUUAAUUGAAUUAGAUUGUUUUCUGAUUGUAAUAGAUGUUAAUUAAUUGAGUGGG
rnacentral:lncRNA from 10 species